GGCAUGGGAAAGGAGCUUUUGGUUCCCAAGCAAGCAGGAUAAAUCCAGGACAGAAGGAACCUGGGAAAAUAGCAAAGGAGUAUGAUGGUGAUCAGAAAAUUCAUCAGUGCACCCAUGUUAGGGACCUUCACAGCUGUAAUCCUGAUUUCUUCAUCUUAAAGAACCAUCUUAAACAUCAUCAAUGUUUAAUAUGAGCAACACAAAUAGAUGGGCACAGAAGAGCUAAAUAUUGACACCCAGCAAAGCAAGGGGAUGAAGCUGCAGGCCUCUGUUGUCGCUCAGGGCACUUGCCCCGGCCAGCCUGAUGCAGGAUGAGAAAUGCGGAUGAGAGCAAUUGCCCCAGUGAAGAGUCAGCUGAUUUCAGAUG
ensembl:lncRNA